GACGAACGCUGGCGGCGUGCCUAAUACAUGCAAGUCGAACGAGAGCGACCGGUGCUUGCACUGGUCAAUCUAGUGGCGAACGGGUGAGUAACACGUGGGUAACCUGCCCAUCAGAGGGGGAUAACAUUCGGAAACGGAUGCUAAAACCGCAUAGGUCUUCGAACCGCAUGGUUUGAAGAGGAAAAGAGGCGCAAGCUUCUGCUGAUGGAUGGACCCGCGGUGCAUUAGCUAGUUGGUGAGGUAACGGCUCACCAAGGCCGUGAUGCAUAGCCGACCUGAGAGGGUGAUCGGCCACAUUGGGACUGAGACACGGCCCAAACUCCUACGGGAGGCAGCAGUAGGGAAUCUUCCGCAAUGGACGCAAGUCUGACGGAGCAACGCCGCGUGAGUGAAGAAGGUUUUCGGAUCGUAAAACUCUGUUGUUAGAGAAGAACAAGUGCUAGAGUAACUGUUAGCGCCUUGACGGUAUCUAACCAGAAAGCCACGGCUAACUACGUGCCAGCAACCGCGGUAAUACGUAGGUGGCAAGCGUUGUCCGGAUUUAUUGGGCGUAAAGCGAGCGCAGGCGGUUCCUUAAGUCUGAUGUGCAAGCCCCCGGCUCAACCCGGGGAGGGUCAUUGGAAACUGGGGAACUUGAGUGCAGAAGAGGAGAGUGGAAUUCCAUGUGUAGCGGUGAAAUGCGUAGAUAUAUGGAGGGAACACCAGUGGCGAAGGCGACUCUCUGGUCUGUAACUGACGCUGAGGCUCGAAAGCGUGGGUAGCAACAGG
rnacentral:rRNA from 1 species